UCUUUUCAGGUCUGUGGUUGCGAAGUUCUCUAUGAGCUUCUAGUCCAUGACAGACGAGGUCAAAGGGAUCCACGUAAGUUUAUGUGUGCGCACGUAAACGAUCAUGGCUCGUCCUAGAAGUAAGCCGUACCGCCUGUUAUAUAAAUGAGACAAAGGGUCUCGCAGGCGAGAGAGCUAUUAGUGGAGCUACUGCGGUAGUAAAGCAAACGUUCCAGUAUGCGAGUGUGGGGUCAAAUACCAGGUCAGCUGAAAAGA
rnacentral:ncRNA from 21 species